rnacentral:rRNA from 1 species
CCUACGGGAGACAGCAGUGGGGAAUAUUGCACAAUGGGGGAAACCCUGAUGCAGCAACGCCGCGUGAGUGAAGAAGUAUUUCGGUAUGUAAAGCUCUAUCAGCAGGGAAGAAGAUGACGGUACUUGUAUACGAAGCCCCGGCUAACUACGUGCCAGCAGCCGCGGGAAUACGGAGGGGGCAAGCGUUAAGCGGAUUUACGGGGGGUAAAGGGAGCGCAGACGGCAGUGCAAGUCUGGAGUGAAAGCCAGGGGCCCAACCCCGGAACUGCUCUGGAAACUGGGCGGCUAGAGUACUGGAGAGGCAGGCGGAAUUCCUGGUGUAGCGGUGAAAUGCGUAGAUAUUAGGAGGAACACCAGUGGCGAAGGCGGCCUGCUGGACAGUAACUGACGUUGAGGCGCGAAAGCGUGGGGAGCAAACAGGAUUAGAUACCCGAGUAGUC